UGUUUUAUUUAGUAUGUUUUGCUAACGUAACUGCACCUUAUGAUCGCAUUUGGAGUUUUACAUUUAUAUAUUUUGUGUCCUUGUUACAGUGUAAUUAUAUAAUUAUUUACUGAUAAACUAUUUAAGAAUUCCUUUUCUUUAAAGUAUACUGAGGUUUGUUGCAGCAAGUGAAGUAUGUUCAAUAGGAAUGUUUUCAAUGCAUUGGUCAAGUAUUCACAUUGGCAUUUGUUGUAAAAAAUACAAACAAACAUGUCUUUUGAACAAAAUAGCCUACAGUAGUCUUUGCAUCCUGUUCUAUGACCUAGCAUGCAUUAUAAAUGGACACUACAUUUUCAGCAUUCAUUUUUGUUCAUCAGCUCUGUUUGUAAGAGGCUGGCUAGAUGGAUCAAAGAACAGAACAAGCUUUUGAACACCAUCAGCACUAACAAAGCAAACGUCUAUUUAUCGGCUUCUUCUUUGCUUAUCCUAAACAGCCCUCAGCGCCAUUCAUUGUCUGAGGUUGUUUUAAGUCACCUUCACCUUCUCACAUAACGUACACUUGAACAGGAGACAUAACAUCCCUCCGUUCAAUUUACAGCUUCCCGUUAAUGAAUCCAAACAGUCAUUCGCUGGACAAGCUGAAGACUCUAUAGAAGUUUGAGGUGCUCUCUGGUUGGCUAAUGGUGUUCGUAGAGGGCUAUUCAUUCUCAGCUUUCUUGGCUUCGCACCAUCUUGUCAAUUUGGCUGAGGAUUGUCUCCCGCUUUCAAACAAAAUCAAAAGGCCUGAAAGCCAAGUGGUUUGUUAGCUGUAUGUCGAAGCGAUACUACUCUGCGCCCCUCAUUUAGAUGGUCAAGGAAUCUGACACAAAGCACACGCGAAGCCCAUGUAAGCGUUAGAGCUUCCCGGUUUGGCUCGCUCUGAGCACCCUUAGCUCUCUUCGCGCUGCUCCAAAUGAAUGGACGGCUCUGAUGUGAUCUGUGCUGUUAGCUGGGAAAUGGGGAUGCAGAAUGACCAUUAUAAGAGUGAAGAACUGUAGAAAGAAGAAAGAAAGAAGAGAGAGAUGAAUCUAGUCUGCUUGCACUGGAAGAUGAACGUAUUAUGAAUAAUGCCUCUAUUUUUCCAUCCAAUUCCCAAUUCCAUCUCUCAGCCCAUUGUCACGGUCGCCCCAUUACUGCUUCAGUUUUCAUCCCUGAAUUCGAUAUUGGGGAAUUGAUCUCAUAUUUAUUUAAAAUAAGAUUAUGUCUUUUAUUAAAACAGAUUUCUUUUCUCUCCAGCCAGAUCCAAUGAGAUAAAAGGAAAUUAUUGAGAACACACUCAUCUGCCGUGACAUCCAAAGUCCAAGUUCAUUCACAACCUCAUUUGAGUAAUGAAAAAACCCAUAAAGCAUUAGUUAAGACAUUUUCUUUUAUUAUUUAUGAGAAGGAGGUAUCUUAUUUUUGUCCGCAUGGGUAUGAAUGUUUCAUAGCGUUGCAUUCUGAGAGAUGUAACGUUUAGGGUUAUUAUAGUUAACAAAAAUUGCUUAAAUGUUAAGUAUUAAGUAUUUCAUAUGGCCAUAUUCAUUUAACUUUACUAAAAUAAUAUUUUUUAAUUAGAAUUUUUUUUCAAUUUUAUAUGGUACUGUGCGUUCGCUCUCAAUUUUUUGUGUGUACAUCUUUUAAUGCAAUUAUAAUAACCCAUCUGCUGAAAUGGCUGGUGACUUGUGAGUCCAGAUGGGUGAUAUGAAGUGCUACAAGAUGGCUGAUAGCACUGUAGCCAUUUAUCUCCCUCUCAUUUUAAUUCUUGCUUAUGUUUCAUUCCUCCGUUUUUCUUUUCCCUACUACUUUGCAUGAUGAAGAAAUCCCAGUGUGGCAUAAUGUAAGACAUAAUCACUUUAUCUGGAGCUGGUUUCAGACAAGAACAUGUCCACUUUCCUCUGCCAUUUCAACAAGGACAGCUGGCGUGGCUCCAAAAGAUAAUUUUACCCCAGAGAAUAGAGGAUCGAGCGAGCGAGCGCGAGAGAGAGAGAGAAUGCAUGUAUGCAUGCCCUACCGAUCAGUUCAGCUUCUCUUUUACAUGCCAUAAAGAGCAGCACAUCAACACAGAUUCCUACGCCAGCUAUCUCUGCUCCUAAUGGAUGUGUUUGUGAGGAAAUGAAUAGCUCUUCUUUUCCAUUAAGUGUAUUGGAGGAAUUAGUUUGAGCGUAGCCACUGCAAACCAUGUUAUAUAAAAGUUCCAUCUCUAAUGCAUUUAACUUUUUCCCCCUCUUUCCUCACCAUCAGAUGGGAAUAAUUUUUAACAGAUGAGGCCCAAACUUCGGAGAAAGGCAGAUGUCAUGCUUUCUGGAAUUUACAUUUCUGGUUCUAGUUCAACUGUCUGAAACCGGAGUCAACGGCCAGGCGAAGCACUCUCUCUCUUUAGUUUUUCUUGUCUGCAGGCAAGCCGAGAUGCCUUGGAGGUGGCACUGAGGACCCUUAGAGCUCAGAUAGAUGAGAAGGAGGCCAAGCAGUCACGGUUAAAGGCCAUCCACAGUCACUCUUCCAAUCAGCAAGCACUUCUUAAUCAGCUAUGAGGUCGUCUGGAGGUGGACGACUGCCACCACCGGCACACGCCUGCAACAAUUUGUCAACAGUCAGCAAAACACUAAAUCAAGCAGCAAUUAUCUGCUCUUAAUUAGCAAACGGAAAACGAUUACAAGCGUGGAUUACUGCAAACACAACACCAGACGCUCAGACACCAGAAGGCAUCAGUCGCACCAUAAUCCAGUCAAGUUGUCAACAGAUCACAGGCUAAUUAGGGAAAUUACAGGGCCGCUGAUUGGGAUUUGGAAAUGGAGAGGCAUGUGGUGAGGUUUAGUGGCUUCGGUCAGGAUGAGCAAUCAUCCCGGGUUAGAAGUGUCAAAUAUAGUGUUUUAUGUAUUCAAGAAACUUGGGUUGCGUAAAAUUUUGCCCUUUGAUUUUAAUGCCUUCUGAGACUUUUGUGUAAA